UACGAAGGGGGCUAGCGUUGCUCGGAAUGACUGGGCGUAAAGGGCGCGUAGGCGGUUGGCUCAGUCAGAUGUGAAAUUCCCGGGCUUAACCUGGGAGCUGCAUUUGAUACGUGUGAUCUAGAGUGAGGAAGAGGGUCGUGGAAUUCCCAGUGUAGAGGUGAAAUUCGUAGAUAUUGGGAAGAACACCGGUGGCGAAGGCGGCGGCCUGGUCCUUGACUGACGCUGAGGCGCGAAAGCGUGGGGAGCAAACAGG
rnacentral:rRNA from 1 species